GACGAACCGUGCGAACGUUAUUCGGAAUCACUGGGCUUAAAGCGCGUGUAGGCGGGACGGCACGUCUGUCGCUGAAAUCCCCCGGCUCAACCGGGGAACGGGCGCGGAUACGACCGUCCUGGAGGGGCGUAGGGGGACCUGGAACUUCCGGUGGAGCGGUGAAAUGCGUUGAGAUCGGAAGGAACGCCCGUGGCGAAAGCGAGGUCCUGGACGCUUACUGACGCUGAGGAGCGAAAGCGUGGGGAGCGAACAGG
rnacentral:rRNA from 1 species